rfam:Plasmodium malariae genome assembly, contig: contig1943
AUUAUAAUGAUGAAACUAUUCAGGAAGUGCCGUCCGAGUUUUCAUGUUGACGAUAAUGAAACCUUCUGAACAUAAUUA